AGCAGUGGGGAAUAUUGCACAAUGGGCGCAAGCCUGAUGCAGCGACGCCGCUUGAGGGAUGACGGCCUUCGGGUUGUAAACCUCUUUCAGUAGGGAAGAAGCGAAAGUGACGGUACCUGCAGAAGAAGCACCGGCUAACUACGUGCCAGCAGCCGCGGUAAUACGUAGGGUGCGAGCGUUAUCCGGAAUUAUUGGGCGUAAAGAGCUCGUAGGCGGUUUGUCGCGUCUGUCGUGAAAGUCCGGGGCUUAACCCCUUAUCUGCGGUGGGUACGGGCAGACUAGAGUGCAGUAGGGGAGACUGGAAUUCCUGGUGUAGCGGUGGAAUGCGCAGAUAUCAGGAGGAACACCGAUGGCGAAGGCAGGUCUCUGGGCUGUAACUGACGCUGAGGAGCGAAAGCAUGGGGAGCGAACAGGAUUAGAUACCCUGGUAGUCCAUGCCGUAAACGUUGGGCACUAGGUGUGGGGACCAUUCCACGGUUUCCGCGCCGCAGCUAACGCAUUAAGUGCCCCGCCUGGGGAGUACGGCCGCAAGGCUAAAACUCAAAGGAAUUGACGGGGGCCCGCACAAGCGGCGGAGCAUGCGGAUUAAUUCGAUGCAACGCGAAGAACCUUACCAAGGCUUGACAUGUUCUCGAUCGCCGUAGAGAUACGGUUUCCCCUUUGGGGCGGGUUCACAGGUGGUGCAUGGUUGUCGUCAGCUCGUGUCGUGAGAUGUUGGGUUAAGUCCCGCAACGAGCGCAACCCUCGUUCCAUGUUGCCAGCACGUAGUGGUGGGGACUCAUGGGAGACUGCCGGGGUCAACUCGGAGGAAGGUGAGGACGACGUCAAAUCAUCAUGCCCCUUAUGUCUUGGGCUUCACGCAUGCUACAAUGGCCGGUACAAUGGGUUGCGAUACUGUGAGGUGGAGCUAAUCCCAAAAACGCCGGUCUCAGUUCGGAUUGGGGUCUGCAACUCGACCCCAUGAAGUCGGAGUCGC
rnacentral:rRNA from 1 species